AAUCAACGCUGGCGGCGUGCCUCAGACAUGCAAGUCGAACGCGAAAGUUUCCUUCGGGAACAAGUAGAGUGGCGCACGGGUGAGUAACACGUAGGUAAUCUACCUUUGGAUGGGGAAUAACAAUCGGAAACGGUUGCUAAUACUGCAUAAUGCAGCGGCACCUAAUGGUGAUUAGUUGUUAAAGCGGGGGAUCGUAAGACCUCGCGCCUGGAGAGGAGCCUGCGGCAGAUUAGCUAGUUGGUAGGGUAAUGGCCUACCAAGGCGACGAUCGGUAGCUGGUCUGAGAGGACGACCAGCCACACUGGGACUGAGACACGGCCCAGACUCCUACGGGAGGCAGCAGUGGGGAAUAUUGGACAAUGGGC
rnacentral:rRNA from 1 species